GGAAGGAUAUGAGAAUUUCUUUGGA
rnacentral:piRNA from 1 species